rnacentral:tRNA from 1 species
GGGGAGAUGGUUCAGCGGUUUAGAGCACUGGAUACUCUUUUCCAGAAGACCUGGGUUCAAUUCCCAGCAUCCACA